ACCACCUGGAGAAUGUAAUCUAAUGUGUAGUUCAUCUCUCCUCAGUAACCACCUGGAGAAGUCUCUGCAGCUCCUGAUGGACAGAGUGGAUGAUAUGAGUCAGGACAUUGUCAAGUAUAACACCUACAGCCGUAACCUCAGCAAGCAACAGCAGCAGAAACACCAGUAUGUCCAGCGGCGCCAGCAGGAGAAUGCUCAGAGACAGACCAGAGGAGAGACUCCUCUACCAGAGGAAGAUGUCUCCAAGAUGUUCAAACCACCACAGCCCCCUCCUCGCAUGGACACUCUCCUCAUCGCAGGACAGAUUAACAAUUACUGCCAGAAUGUGAAGGAGUUCACCUCCCAGAACCUCGGCAAACUCUUCAUGGCCGAGGCUCUUCAGGGACACAACAGCUAAAGGAGAAGACGAGAGGAGGAACUAAAACACACAGGAGAGAACCCCCCCUUUCACCCAAUCAGAAUGAUCCAUACAGGGCUGUGUUCUAAAUUGUACCCUCUUCCCUUAUAUAUAUAUAUAUAUAGUGCACUACUGGUCAAUACUAGUACACUACUGGUCAAAACUAGUACACUACUGGUCAAUACUAGUACACUGUAUAGGGAAUAGGGUGUAAUCUUGGGAUGGAUCCUAUGAUUGGAGGAUUGAUGUGAUGCUGUUAGAUUUGUUAAGAAAUUAAAAUAACGACGUGACCAACAUUAUUACUCAUUAUUAAGAAAACAUAUUCCACGUUCUCCAAAGAAGAUUUAUUUGAAUAUUAUUGUAACUUUUAAUAAACAUCUUUGCGUCUCCUCACAUUGUUUUGCCUCUCUGCGCUCGUUCUAUGUCCAUUCAUAAAGAUUAAACCUCGUCCUGCACCGAAACACACUUUCAAUGGAGAUUCUCCAUUGUCCAAUACUAGGCAUCGUCUGUUUCCGGGGAAACGGCCACCAGAAGUGUAGUUGUCCAAUACUAGGCAUCGGCUGUUUCCGGGGAAACGGCCACCAGAAGUGUAGUUGUCCAAUACUAGGCAUCGUCUGUUUCCGGGGAAACGGCCACCAGAAGUGUACGUGUCCAAUACUAGGCAUCGUCUGUUUCCGGGGAAACGGCCACCAGAAGUGUAGUUGUCCAAUACUAGGCAUCGUCUGUUUCCGGGGAAACGGCCACCAGAAGUGUACGUGUCCAAUACUAGGCAUCGUCUGUUUCCGGGGAAACGGCCACCAGAAGUGUAGUUGUCCAAUACUAGGCAUCGUCUGUUUCCGGGGAAACGGCCACCAGAAUUGUCCAAUACUAGGCAUCGUCUGUUUCCGGGGAAACGGCCACCAGAAUUGUCCAAUACUAGG